rnacentral:rRNA from 1 species
AUUGAACGCUGGCGGCAGGCUUAACACAUGCAAGUCGAACGAGUGGCGGACGGGUGAGUAAUGCUUGGGAAGCUAGCUUAUGGAGGGGGAUAACUACGGGAAACUGUAGCUAAUACCGCGUACCAUAGGAUGAGCCCAAUGGGGAUUAGCUAGUGGGUGGGGUAAAGGCUCACCAAGCCGACGAUCCCUAGCUGGUCUGAGAGGAGGACCAGCCCAACUGGGACUUAGACACGGCCCAGACUCCUACGGGAGGCAGCAGUGGGGAAUAUUGCACAAUGGGGGCAACCCUGAUGCAGCCAUGCCGCGUGUGUGAAGAAGGCCUUCGGGUUGUAAAGUUCUUUCGGUAGCGAGGCGUUAACUACAGAAGAAGCACCGGCUAACUCCGUGCCAGCAGCCGCGGUAAUAC